ensembl:snRNA U6 U6 spliceosomal RNA
UUGCUUCAAGCAGCACAUGUGCUAAAAUUGUAACGAUACAGAGAAGAUUAGCAUGGCCCUUGCCCAAUGAUGACAUGCAAAUUUGUGAAGUAUUCCAUAUUUUU